rnacentral:tRNA from 1 species
CAAAAGGUAAGCUAAUACAAGCUUUCGGGCUCAUAACCCGACAAUAGGUUUACCCCUUCUUUUGG